UCUUUCUCUUCAACAAAGCAGCUGAGCAGCAGACACAGAGAUGCAGAUCUUUGUGAAGACCCUGACGGGCAAGACCAUCACCCUCGAGGUUGAGCCCAGUGACACCAUUGAGAAUGUCAAAGCUAAAAUCCAAGACAAGGAGGGCAUCCCACCUGAUCAGCAGUGUCUGAUUUUUGUGGGCAAACAGCUAGAGGAUGGCCGCACUCUGUCAGACUACAAUAUUCAGAAGGAGUCCACCCUGCACUUAGUGCGUCAUCUGUGAGGCGGCCUCAUUGAGCCUUCCCUCCGCCAGCUUGCCCAGAAAUACAACUGUGACAAGAUGAUCUGCCGCAAGUGUCAUGCUCACCUGCACCCCUGGGCUGUCAACUGCCGCAAGAAGAAGUGCGGCCAUACCAGCAACCUGCGCCCCAAGAAGCUCAAACAAGGCCCCUCCACCGGCUCCUGCUUUGCCCACAAGGCGGCUGCUUGUCCAAGCCUCAUGGCUCUAGGGCCUCAAUAAAUUUUCCCUUUCAUUGACUGGAGCAG